UACGUAGGGGGCAAGCGUUAUCCGGAUUUACUGGGCGUAAAGCGCGUUAAGGCGGUUGGCAAAGUUGGUGGUGAAAUUGCAGGGCUCAACCCUGCAACUGCCUCCAAUACUGGUCGACUAGAGUACGAGAGAGGAAGGUGGAAUUCCCGGUGUAGUAGUGAAAUGCGUAGAUAUCGGGAGGAACACCAGUGGCGAAAGGCG
rnacentral:rRNA from 1 species